AUUGAACGCUGGCGGCAGGCCUAACACAUGCAAGUCGAGCGGAUGAAGGGAGCUUGCUCCUGGAUUCAGCGGCGGACGGGUGAGUAAUGCCUAGGAAUCUGCCUGGUAGUGGGGGAUAACGUCCGGAAACGGGCGCUAAUACCGCAUACGUCCUGAGGGAGAAAGUGGGGGAUCUUCGGACCUCACGCUCUCAGAUGAGCCUAGGUCGGAUUAGCUAGUUGGUGGGGUAAAGGCCUACCAAGGCGACGAUCCGUAACUGGUCUGAGAGGAUGAUCAGUCACACGGGAACUGGGACACGGUCCAGACUCCUACGGGAGGCAGCAGUGGGGAAUAUUGGACAAUGGGCGAAAGCCUGAUCCAGCCAUGCCGCGUGUGUGAAGAAGGUCUUCGGAUUGUAAAGCACUUUAAGUUGGGAGGAAGGGCAGUAAGUUAAUACCUUGCUGUUUUGACGUUACCAACAGAAUAAGCACCGGCUAACUUCGUG
rnacentral:rRNA from 1 species